AAAAGUUCAGUGGUAGAGCAAAAAUAGACAUCACCGAUCUACCAAUCGACUGGAUUUGCUCUCCAUGCGUAACUUGUCUCCGCUGCCACCAUAGAAACCAGCUCGCCGUAAGAACAAGAUCCCCAACAUGCAAGAACUAUAGUGAGUAUUUGUUCGUUCUUAUCAUCUCGUCCAGCACCAAUAGAUUCCGAGCGAUCUAAAUAAAUGGACAUCACCUCCUUAAGCCUAUGUUCUUUCCACACUGGCUUGCUCUUUCUCACAUUGGGAAAAACUGUUUUGCUAAGUCUCAGUCGACUUAGACUUCGUUAUGUCUGAGUCGGUGUUAUAUUUCUUUGAUCUUGCAAGGAGAUUCGUAAAAAAAAUCUUUACGGUUUUUUUUCUCCUUAUACUAUAUCACUUGACUAAAACAUGGUUAAGUCUCAGUCGACUAAGACCUAACCACACCCAUUGAAAAAUCAUGUGUUUGAGGUCCUCAUAAGUCAUAACCCACUUGGCAUAGGGAGUGGCUACAGAUCAAUCGACUGACUCAAAAAGUGGUCAGUCGAAUGUUAACAAAGGGAAAAGAUUGCAACCCAGAAAGAAAGCUGACUGACCCAAAACUAUUGUCAGUCAGUCAGCCCAACAGAAAGAAAGCCUUAGAACAUUCUGUUUCUUUCUUCUGUUCUUUCUUUAGCCCAGAGAGAAAACGGGCCUGAAUCCGCUAAGCUAAAGAUCCAGUCAUCGUAUAGCUCACUAGCAGGGCCGGUCCUGAGAUUUCCGGGGCCCGGGGCGAGACAACACGGAGGGGCCCUAAAGCCACAUAAACAUGUGCAUAUUUUUAUGUCUAUUUCAACUGCAAAUAAAUAUUUAGCAAACUAUAAUUUAUGGUGCCUUGUCUUCUUGACUAUUAAGAAACUGGGGUCAUAAACAUUCACAGUAAAAGUGGAUCUCCACCCUUAUACUGUAUAUAUUUGUAUUAUUAGGUGAAUUAGUAGCACUAUCAUGCCUACUAAUUUUUUUAUCUUCCUAUAGUUUUCACUAGUUGUUCUUGAACAACUAAAGCUAACUCCUUGGAGUUCCUAGCAGUAGAAAUAUUGUUUCUUUUUGCAGGGAAUCCGUAGAGCACUUGUAUCUGCUCUAAAAAAAUGUCAACACCUCAUGUGAGACUCAAUUAACUCAUAUGCUUGUGUUUCCUCAAUUAUCAGAUGGAUUUUUUUCUGGAUAGCAUCUUGCUAAAUGAAUGGCAAUCUUGCUAAUCAGCACACAACAUAUGAUACAAGAAAUUAAGAGUACUGCUAAUUAAAUAAAAGUGCUAAGUAAGGCAUGGAACAAGUUACCUGGAUGGCUAGAAAAAUUGAAGUCGCAUAAUUUUGCUGUUGCGUCACGGACAGAAGUCAGAGUUUUUGUUUUCUAAUCCGAAUCAAUACAAGAAACUAGAGUAUAUGAGAAAAAGAGACGUACGAGGAUAAUCUUCAGGAAACGAACGACCAACAAGAAUAGAAAGAAAAAAUUUGCAUUGAAGAGAAGAUUGUUGGGAAUCUGGAAACCACAUUACCUUCUUCCACUAAUGGCGCCUAGCAGCCAAAAAUUACAAUUAGACGAGUGGGAGGGGCGCCGUCAUUCAUGGCAUGGCUGAUUUGUUGCCAAUUGGGGAGGAAGAGUAUUAAGCCGAGAGGACUGCACGGCGUGUUAAUCCAUUAAUUAUUUUUUGUUUCCUUUUGGAGAAUCAAUCAACCGGCAAAACAAUCACACGUAUACAGGGAAACCAAAUCAAUCGGGGGGCCCUUCCUACUCGUGGGCCCGGGGCGCCCGCCCCCCCUGNNN
rnacentral:lncRNA from 1 species